AAUUCAAUCUACUGUUUAUUUUUGACUUCUUUUUCCUCCCCUAACCACCGGAGGCAAAGCCGUUUGUGAAAGAAAAGUCAAAAACAAACAGAAAGCCUCCCAACUCGGGGGGCUUUUUUAUA
rfam:Vibrio sp. 2756-81 Vn_2756-81_contig1, whole genome shotgun sequence.